AUUGAACGCUGGCGGGAUGCUUUACACAUGCAAGUCGAACGGCAGCACGGGUGCUUGCACCUGGUGGCGAGUGGCGAACGGGUGAGUAAUGCACCGGAACGUACCCAGUGAUGGGGGAUAACUAUCCGAAAGGAUAGCUAAUACCGCAUACGCCCUGAGGGGGAAAGCGGGGGAUCGUAAGACCUCGCGUUAUUGGAGCGGCCGAUGCCGGAUUAGCUAGUUGGUGGGGUAAAGGCCUACCAAGGCGACGAUCCGUAGCUGGUCUGAGAGGACGACCAGCCACACUGGAACUGAGACACGGUCCAGACACCUACGGGAGGCAGCAGUGGGGAAUUUUGGACAAUGGGCGAAAGCCUGAUCCAGCCAUUCCGCGUGAGUGAAGAAGGCCUUCGGGCUGUAAAGCUCUUUCGCAAGGAAAGAAAACUUACCCCCUAAUACGGGGUGAGGUUGACGGUACCUUGAUAAGAAGCACCGGCUAACUACGUGCCAGCAGCCGCCGUAA
rnacentral:rRNA from 1 species